rnacentral:lncRNA from 1 species
AUUAUGUGAGUUGGCGUUAUAUCUCAUCCAUUCUAGCCACAAAUUAGUGUCUGAAAACCCAGUCUCUACUGUCAUAGUGUCUUCAAAGGUGGGAUUGGCUAUAGCUACCAUGUCAUGUAGAGUCUUAAUAUGUGGUUUUAACGUGUUAAUAGUCAUGUGAGUGGUUCCUACCCAGUCUGGUGAGGUGAGCCUUUUUGCUAGGUAUGUCUUUGUAUAUGGCUGCAUAUUGUGUUUGUGGAAAAGGUGCAAACAACUAUGUCACAGUAAUCAAAGGUGUAUGUAGCUACAUCUGUGUUAGAAGAAUUGUACCAGAAAAGUGUAAACAUGAUUAUCUUUGGUUAUGGCCGCUUGUUGGGCCCAGGCAAAGUGUAGCAGCAUAAGAAAACACAAGACACAUAAUAAAUUCAUAUUUCAGCAAGAUUAGCCUCUUCUGGAGCAGGCACUUUUUUGUAAUGUGAGGCGUGUAUCCAAGAACUCUUCCCGGCUAGUUUAACUGACGUUGCUGUAAUCAGGAGCACUUGAUAUGGGCCAUCAAAUCUUGGUUCUAGGGUGUGUUUCCUGAGAAACUUCUUGACCAUAACCCAAUCACCAGGAAGCAGCUUGUGUGUACCUGUAUUUGACUCAGGAUCUGGAAUAGAAGAAAACACUUGGGCAUGUAUUUUGGUCAAGGCAUGUGAGAGGGCAGUCACAUAGUCUACCAUAGCGUCUGACUGAAUCUGAAGCUGUUGGGGAAAGUAACAACCUAACCUGGGUGCUGUACCAAACAAAAUCUCAUAAGGUGAUAGGCUAUAUUUUCCCCUAGGAGUGUACCUUACACUAAACAACGCUAAUGGGAGACUCUCGGGCCAGGGCAUGUUAGUUUCUUGUGACAUUUUAAGCAUUCUGGCUUUCAAAGUGCCAUUCAUGCGCUCUACCUUACCACUACUCUGUGGGUGAUAUGGUGUGUGGAAUGCAAGGGUCACCCCCAGUGCUGGCCAGACUUCCCGUGUUAGCGAGGCAGUGAAG